rnacentral:rRNA from 1 species
UACGGAGGAGCUAGCGUUGUUCGGAAUUACUGGGCGUAAAGCGCACGUAGGCGGCUUUUUAAGUCAGGGGUGAAAUCCCGGAGCUCAACUCCGGAACUGCCCUUGAAACUGGGAAGCUAGAAUCUUGGAGAGGCGAGUGGAAUUCCGAGUGUAGAGGUGAAAUUCGUAGAUAUUCGGAAGAACACCAGUGGCGAAGGCGACUCGCUGGACAAGUAUUGACGCUGAGGUGCGAAAGCGUGGGGAGCAAACAGG